UAAAGCUUCAUGAUCCUUGAGGUCUCUUCCAGUCUGGGCUGUUCUGUGAUUCUGUGAUCUUGAUCUGAACACCUCAUUUCUCAGUGUUUACCAGUGUGUCAUUAUUUAUGUCCUUGUUAUCAAAUGUGUCAUGUUUCUAACCCUUAUUUUAUUAAUUCUGCAUAGAUAUUUCUGUACUCAAUUCAGACAAGUCUUGAUAUUUCUGUUACGAAUCCCUGCCCUUUUCUAACAGUAGGGAGUAUCCUCACCUUUUCCUCUUAUUUUUCUCCAGGAAAAGCCUCCUAAGCACGUAAUUGCUAUUCCUUCUGUGCAAGCCCUGGUUCUUUAGAUAACAAUCUCUCAGUUGAUGAAUCAAGUACCGUUACAAUUGCUGCUUUUUGUUACUUCCUUUUGAGAGAUCAGUACUAUUAACAUUGGAAAACAAAGCAAACAAAGCUCCUUGUCUUUAUAAGGUUGUUUAAAUACUAACAGCAAGUUUCUGUUUUCACAUUGAAUGCCUGGUUCCUUUGACAUUAAGAAAUAGGAAGAACCAAGACAAUCUGCAAAGCCUUUUAACGUUUCUUUCCAGUUAGCUGAUGCUCUGCAAAUAAGUCGAUGCAGUGUAUUUCUGAGUAGUGUGUUCCUAGAAGAGUAGUCCUCCUCUGUCUCUACAAAGAACGACUUGACAGCAGGACAUUUACAGAGUAACGAUUCAGGACCAUGAUUGUGUGCACUCACACAACAGAGUUCUACUUGUCAUAAUUCAAGGAAAAUGUAAUAAAUAUCAGAACCAACUACAAGUUUGAACUGACAGUGAAGUGCCAGCACUUAUUUUUGGAAAAGGUAUGCUAUACGCUGCUUCCUUCAUGUGCCUCAUAUUAAAAACUGUCUGGGCAUGUAAAAGGAAGUUGUUAGAAUUAAAAAUAAUUGUGAAAGCAGUAAUACACUUUUAUCACCUUUAUAUAAGAAAAAAUGUAUAUUCCAAAGACCAAUUUUUUUUUUAAUCACUGUAGAGAAUUCUUCUUGAUGUGUAUAAUCAGUAUUCAAAAUAUUCUUUACUUCUUUCCAAACAAAUAGCAGAAUUGAACUAAAUUAAGCACCAAAAAUGAGAAUAUCAGUACCAUUAUCUUUGUCUAAGAUUCUUGAGGGCUUGGACUGGCAGCUUGACAAAAAUGGAAAAAUGGUGAACUGAAUAUGAGUUUGCAGACUAGUCAUUUAAAAUAAACUAUCCUUUCCAGAAACGUAGUAUUUACUUAAACACCUUUUAUUUGAGUGAACGGAAUUCCCUGUUUGCCUCUGAUCCUUAGCAUUUAAGUAGUGUUUGUAUUGGCUCAGAUAUUCCCAAGCAUGAUUGCACUGUGCUAGACACACUACAGGAAAAGCAGCUUUAUCCCAGUGAUGCACGCUCAUAUCAAAUAAGGAUAAUGCACAACAGGAGAAGGAAUACACGAAAUAAAUUAUUAACAUAAUGAGAAACUUCAUUAUAAACUGUCUACAACUGAGGUGAUUUUACAAAAAAGUUGUAAAGGUGACCAGGACACUGGCCCCAGGUCUACCCUGUAGGCAGAGACCCAUGUGAGUGCUUUCUCCAUUAUUGCUGUGUUUCAUUGAGAAAUUUAUCAAGUUCAGAAUAUGUUAACAAAAUCCUCACCAUUCAGGUCUUUCAGAAACAUGCUACUUCCAGUGCCUCACAAGAUUUUACCAGCCACCCUAGUUUUUGCAUUUGAAUUUGCGGCAGUAAAAAUUACACUGGGAUGCAGAGUCUCACCUUAAUGGAAACGAGAGUAGUAGAAUAUGAACAUUAUCAAAAGUCUCAUAGACAAGAAGGAAGAUAAAAGAUUUAAUUAUAUUUAAUUAUAUUUACCAAAAAACAAUACUGUGGUGUGCUGCAGUAGUUUGCUUUAGUCAUCUUCCUCAUUGCUGAAUGUACAGAAAACAUCUGCUGCUCAUCUCAUUUUUUCCUGCAGACAUUGCUAUAACAUCCCUUCCUGAAUUUCCCCAAAUGUUCUUUGGAAAAUACUGUGAUAGGAUCUGUGAUGUCUCUUUUUCCCUACACAACUAAACAUCGUAGACUAGCUCAGAUGUUCUGCUUUAUAAAUAAGUUAUAUUCAUUCUCACAAGUUUGAACUCAUUCCUGAGUCCAGGAAGGAAUCAAGGUCGCUAGGGAGAAGCCAGGCCUGGAACAGCCUGUGAACCAAACACGUACGCUGGUAUAAAGGACUUAGGAAGAUUGAAGUGGUACAUUUUAUUAGUUUGCCACAAGUAUUCAGAUUCUAUCAGGUUCACUUUCAGAAUACCUCACAUGUCCUCAUUCAAACAUCACUAGAAAAUAAAGGUUUUCUUAAUGAGGUUGCCAAGUUUUUUCUCCUAGUAAUUCUGUCUGUAGUGCAAAGAUUUCUAGAGCUCCUUGGCACAACAGAUUUACCCUCCUACAUUGUUCUGCAUUGGUAGGAAUCCUGAGCGUUGUUUAAACAUGACUUUAGUUUGAAAAAGAAGCUCAAAAAUUGCCUUACACAAAACUGAUAUGCUCUUUCUUCACUGUCUAUGAAGCAAGAUAAUUGUCUUUUUCUUGAAACAAAUAUCAGGCCUUAAAACUCAGCUCAGGAAGCUUACUCCCUCCUUUUCAAGAAUAGUUUGAAGUUCAGCUGAAGUCAGUCAUACUGGGACAAUGUAUUCUGGUUUCAGCGCAGGUUUGGCUGACCUGUAACAACACUUAAUUUUGCAGAUGACUUCAGUGGGGGACAGUCAUAAACACAUAUUUUCUCAAGAGCUUAUAGAAUGCACUGUAGGAGGCUGCUACUGUGGUUUUUAAUUUGCUAUUAAAUAAGUAUUAUAUACACGCUAGACAUCUGUGCUAGUCUGUACAUGUUGCAAUAUGUUUAGCAGCACGGGGUUUUUUUAACAACAUUUCUUCAGAGCAAAGCUAUGCGUAGAAGAAUCCAUAAAUAUCCCAGACAUUCAGUUCAACUCUUGGUCCUCCUUUGUUAAAUCAGCCACAGGUGGGUUCCAUUUCUCCUCUUACUGAAGAGGCUAUUGUUUCCUUACCUUUACAAACUUGUUUUGUUUUUUAUACAUUGUUAUACAGGUUAGCACACAUUUUAGAAUGCCAUUCCCAAAUAAAUGCAACAGUUUUUAAACUCAAGCUCUAUAUACAGUCACAGUAACCCCAGGACACUGUCUGACAUGCAUUUGAACCAGGACUGCAAAGCUACUUUCUCUUCCUUUUCUUUUCCCCUGCUUCCUCAGCACUUCACGUUCACUUCCAUAUUGUUCUUCAUGCUGCUACUCAUUACCAUCAGGAUGGGAAACAAAACUUGAGAUCAGUUCCUCAGUCUCCUUAGGAUGAGUUUGUUUACGGUGCAGAAUGGGGCCAGAAAAAAGGGGAGGAGGCAGCUGGGCAGUGUGGGUGCAGAAGUGCAGGCUUUCUUGAAUAUCAGUCUAGAGCAUCAGAGCUUAGCCUUCAGCCAAGGUAGGAUGUACACAAUUAAUAUAUCUUGUCACUGUCAUCUCUCCUAUCUUCAAACCUUUAAUCUGUAUGAAGGUGAUUAUAUUACUCUUUCUAAAGCUCAUCAAUUAGUGUUUGCAAAUGAUCCAUGUAAUUGGGCUUCAUAGUACAUUGUGAGCACCCAAUGACUAGUAAGCCUGCCAUGAUCCAAAGUUUUGAGCAGCCUGCUGUAAAGACAGCAUAAAGCCAUGCAAAGAUGUGUUACUAAUCAGGAAAUGUUAUGAACAAUUUAAAACAAACUUUUAAGGUAGAAAGUGAUAGAGAACUUUAUUAAUGCAUUCAGUAAUCCAGGCCUAUUAUAGUUGCCUUGCACUUGUGAGGAUUUAGAGGCUUUCCAGUCUAAUCCUAGUAUUUGGCCCAGUGCAGCAAGUACUCCUUAACAAUAGUUCUGCUCAAAAAAUUACAUUUAGAAUGGAAACAUUUUUAAUUUGAACUACCUAUUCCCUGUAUUCACAGAGUUACACAGCAUAUUUUAUUUGGGAAGAAAAAUAUUGUUGAUCUCAGUGAUUUACAGAUCUCUCAUAGCCAUCAUAUCAUAUAAAAGAUAACAAUUCAUUUUUUUGGCAUUUUAAUUGCAAGAUUGCUUACUAAAUUUCUGCAAUAAGGGAAAAUAAUAUUUGUAAAAUUUAUGUGUCUGUGAAAGCAAAUGAACUUCAGAACUUCUAUUUCUAGUUAGUACCUGGGGGAACUCACAUACCCAUCAUUUAAAACAACAACUGAACAGAACAACCAAGCUUGGAUUCCAAUUUGAUUUGACUCCUCUUUGGGAUCAACAAGAAAUUAUAGUCCUGGAAACCCAUAUCUGUAAAGUAGUUCUGCAAAGUAGACAGUAAAUAUCUCCUUGAUCUUUGAACCUUUUAAUGUUACAAACUAUGAGAUGUUCAUUCACUGGCAGGACCCAGAGAUUACACUUUCUUGAAAAAUGCUCCAAAUUUGCUGAGAUCCAAUGAAUCUUUGUAAAUUAUGUUUGUUCCAUCAUGAAAUAUAACUGACUUUUACAGUUCAGUCCUUCAGUUACUACAUUCCUUGUUUCAGUCAAGACAGCAAAAGAAACUCUAAGAUGCUGAAUUGCAAAACUCCUGCUGAGUUAAAGAGAAUAUUGCUAGAUCUGUGAGUGAGAAAGCCCCAGAAGUGCUGGGACUUUGAAGUACUGGGAUUUUUCCUUUUUACUCAGAGUACCUGCUCCAGGUGGGACCACUGAAGAAUUUUGAAAUUAGAGGACAGUUACGUGUAGGAGGAAUGUAUAAUAAAAAGCUGAAAACGUGAUCUGCGGUGUGAUGAAAACUGAGUAGGUUGAACCCUCAGGGACAGCUUAUGGCUUGCACAAGUUCUAAGUUACAGCAAUUUCCCAGGACAUGUUGCAUGAAUGAUAGAGUCUGACAUUUUGUACAGUGCAGAGAAACUCUUUCUGCUCUCUGAGAUGAAAAGCUAAGGAGUCUAACAAGGCAGUAUUAAUCUGCAGGCAAAAUAAUCUACAGGCAAGAUUAUUUCAGACAAAUAGAGGAAUUGGAGAAAAAAUAGAGCAGAAGUUCAACAUGCUGCUAUUAUAAGCCUAGCAUGUCUUAAAACAGUGUAAGAGUGACUAGAACAUAGUGACAUUCUUGCCAAAGAAUUGCAAAAGAAUUUCCAUUUGCUUGUUGUGUGGCAUGAGUCAAACAGCAACGUUUCAGGAUUCUAGUUCAUGUGUAAUGAAAAGGCAAGGAGACCAGACCAUUCUUCUAUUGCAUAAGCAAUUUCACGUGGUGUCACAUCUUGAUUGAUGUUCCGCGUGGUCUGGGAGUCAGGGAAUCUGCUUAGAAAUACAGGGCUUCAGAAAUUUGCAUACUCAGAAUUGCUUCUAAAAAGAUAAAGCGCUGCUUUUACUAGAUCUAGCUGAUUACUGACAGAAAUUAUUCCAUUUCUGGAAAUACAAGUGUAUCCAGAAGAACUGAAAGUGGUGUCCAUUAGUCAUUUAGUAGUUUACUGAGAGGCAUGUUGAUCUGUAUCUAAACAUGAAACAGGAGUAGGAAAACUGGCUACAGUUAAGAACUAAAUAAAUAAGAUUCAAAUUUUACUGAGGUACCUUAAGUAACAUUAAAGCAAACAGGAUAACAAAAUGAGUUGUUCAGACCUGUGUAUGGAUUGUGAAUUUGUAAAAAUAAAUGCCUGAUCUGUUAUGUUUUGCUCAUACCACUUUCCUGGGAAAGAGAUAGCCUAUAAACAUAACUAAAUUAUGCACAGGCACCUGCCAUCCCAUCCCUUGGGCAUGCUAAGUUAAAAAGUGUUGCUUGAUGAUUCCUGUAAGAACACAGUUCCCUUCUGGACUGAGGGACAUAGGCACCUAGGAAUGAUUAGUCAUGGGAAACUGGUUUAAGCAGCAGCACGGUGAGUUGCAUUGUGUCACAGGCUGUUAGGUGUCAGUGCAAAAAUAGAGUCAUAAGAAAAUUAAGUUCUGGUAGACUUUUGAAGUCAUUGUUCUAAUCCUGCUCAAACAAUAGCUAGCAUCAAAAUUAGAUUGGGACAGUUAUCCUACUGGCCCUGUUAAUCAAAUGGCCAAGAGCAACAAUCAAAGAAUAUAAAAUGACCCAAUCUUACAACCUGCUAUUGCACGAAGGCUUAGCAUCUCACAAUCUUUGACAGCAGCAAUUAGCAUCAGACACAAGUGGAAAUGUAGGUUAAAUUUGUAUCAUUGAAUGCUCUAUACGCACAAACCUUGGAAGCCAAAGCACAGAUAUUUCACAUCACAGUGCUGUUUUAUCCUCAGAUUAACAUCAUCUCUUCCCACUGAUCUCUUCAGUGUAGGAAAGAUUAUAGCCACAAAUGCACAGUUCCAAUUGUGAGCUGGAGUUUUACAGUGCUGUUCAGCAUCUGAAACAUUAAACAACUCCAACAGCAGACAAUUUUAGUAACUUUCCACCAUUUAAUCUCUCUUUUUAUUGGGAGAGGGGUCAGUGAACUACAUUGUCAGGUUUUAAACUGUAAAAUGAUACAUUAGAGCUCUUUGUGGACAUGUUUGAAAUAGUGGGGGGAAUCUUGCCAAAGACUGCCUUGAUAUAGUUCUUUGAGAGAACUGAUGCAGUAGAAUGAUUUUUAAUGAAUAUGCUAUGAAUGGCUUGAGAAGCUUUAAAUAUUGCUGUUAUGUCAGGUUUCAAAUAUGUUACUAGAAUAACACUCUUAAAGGUUUCUUCGUGGUAGAGUCAUUUAGCUAUUGGUGUUUGACAGCUGAAAGUGAAGAAACCAAAGAAUUCAAAUUACAAGCUGAAGCAGUGAUAGAAAAGGGAUACUGCUAUCAUGUGACAUAAAAACAAUUUUCUGCUGAAAGCAAGAAAUAUAGGAGCUUUCACAUGACAGAUUAAUUGGCCUCAUGAUUUCCUGUUAAAAGAUACACUGUUCUGAGGGGAUUUGAACUCUUCUGCUUGAACCUUAUCCUAACACAGCUCACAAACACAGUUUUGCUGCAUUUGUGGGCUGCAGAGAUGUAUUGAUUAGCUGGAGGAAAUGGUUUUCUCAAAGUUUAUUACUGUCUUGUCUUGGGUAUUUGCUCAUUUUGGCAAGCUGCUAAACUAUACUGAAUUCAUUCUUUGCUCAGAUAAAUGACUCUUCUCAGAUAACAUAGGCUAGCAAUUUUAAAAUUUUAAAUUCCUUUUAAACGUCUAUUUAAAUUCUGUUUUUAUAUUCUUUACAGUCAACUUCUUGAUGUCUGUAUAAUCUUUUGUGGAAUAUAGUUUUACAUAAUUAUCAACAAUACUUUAGCCAGUCUCCUAAGCUAUAGAUUCAGCCUAACAUUGUUCAAGUUCUUAAUCUGACAGCUAGAACUUGGAUGAUAAUUCUGACUGGAUCUGCGAUUUGCAAUUUAAAACUGUCCUUGUGGGGACAACUCUCAUCAGGCAGAGCUUUGAUCAGCUGUAGCUGAUACUCAGUGGCAGUGUCUAGGAUGGCUUCCUACCCAUGAUUUCCCCAUUAUGUGCUCUGUUCACUCAGUAACAGCCUUCAAAAUGUACUAAGAACCAAGAUUUUAUAUCAGGAUGUGUUGCACAUAGCAAACAUUUUGCUAUACUGUUGUGCAGUACAUCAAGCUAAUAGAGAAGAGAACGAAGGCAUCAGAGCUAUAGCAAUAGAUUUGGUAAUAAUGUGGUCAGACACCACAUAUCUUGGUUAAUAUACAGCAACUAAAAAACAGGAAAGCAGCAAUCAUAAUAAAAGUAGUCAUACAUCAUUUGUUGUGUAGGAAAAAAGCAGACGUUAAAGAGGUACCAUUCAAUGCCAUUAUGGACUAAAUGCAUCCUGCACAGGCAUGACUUGAAACACAAAGUCAAAAAAAUAGCUUACAAAAUUAAAACUGACUGUCAUUCGAUACAAAAUAAUUUAAAAUACACAUGACUUCUACUUCUAUGAUUUAAGCACAGAACAGGAGAUACAGCAAAGUAAGUUACAAAAGUUUACUAGGCAGAGGACAGUCUGUGGUAUAAGGAUGGGAUGACAAGGUAGAGGAUCUCUAUGACCAUAGAGCAUUUGGAGUAAGUGGAGAAAGAAUGAAUUACCUUUGGAAUUAAGAAGUUAUAGAUUAGGGGUUUAACUGAAUAAAGACUAUAGAGAGGGUAUUCAACUAUUCACUAUUCCUUCCAGUAUAUGAACGGUGAGUAACCAGACGAAGCUGAUAGGAGAUUAACAAACAAAAAGAUGUGUUUCUUCACACGGUGUAUUAAAGCUGCAGAACAUCUUGCUGCAGUAACUUUUGCUGCCAAAGGUGUUCAUGAGUUCAAGCGUGGUCUUCACAAGUCUACAGAGCAGUUGACCACCAAACAUUUUAAAACACACAAACUGUGUAGGACAAGUAUAGCCAAACUUGGCUUGUUCUUCCCUGCUUUCCUGGGUAGCUGCUUUUUCAUGUCACUAGAGACAAAAUACUGGGCUAAAAAAUUCUGACCCAAAACUGGAACGUAUGAAAUAAGAAUGCCUAAAUCCAGGUCGUAUUAUUAGGCUCAUGUCAAAUGUAAAUAGCAUGAGAUCAGAUGACCUUAGAAUAUGUUAUAGCCUUAUAUUCCAUUACAAUCUAUAAAUUAGUAAAUAGAAAAUAGUAAAUAGAAAAUCCCAUCCAUUCUACUGAGAGUAAGUUUUAAGUGCCAGCACUUUCUGCCAGUGAAAACACUGGAAAAGUCAUCACUAUUCACAGCCAUUUCUAGUAUUAAAUGAAAAUCCUAUAGAAGCAAUAGAUCGCAUUACAGAAUGAUAAUAACAAAUCACUAGUGCGUAAAGAUGGCAUAUCUUACAUGCUUUCCAUACAGUAUGUUAUGUGUGUGUUUGGUAAAAGCUGCAACUAUACCUGUGUGGCAUCUCAGAAUCAAUCUUGACUACUUUUUAUUUCAGAAUAAGAAUGCUUGGACAAGAUCUUUCUGAUCAGUGGCACAGUAGGACGCUAGCUUCUUUCUGGCCAUGCAGAACAACAUGCCAGAUCAGUUUCUUGGUAAGUUUCAUCAUGUGGCCCCACAAGUAGUUGUACAAACCACUGUAUUAAACCCCAGAAGAGGGGCAAGGAGCUCAUUCACAAGACUUAGCUACAGAAAAUGCAGUCAAGACAGUCCCUUCCUUCAAGCAGUAGACAAAACUAUGACUCAAGACACAAGAUUCAGUCUUUCAACAAGUUGAAAUGCUCCUUAUUGAGACUGGCUGUACAGCAGAGCAGCUGCAGUAGAAGUACAUUUGUCCUCUUGGAUAGAGUGUAUUGUGGAUUCACUGUAUACCAACAUUUUCUAAGAAAUUCACCCUUGCAUUACUGAAGAUUGUGAAACAAUGGAGUCUUUUAUCUGCCAACUUCUAUUGAGUUUGCUAAGCAGGAAGCAAUAGAUGAACCCCAACACAUCAGAAUAGCUAUGUGCAGAAUGCUGCUAUCACAGCUGACAUCAGUCACAUCACUCAAGCUUCUUGAGAAAUGGGUUCAAUGGUGCUUGAGAUAAAGUGUAGAAAAAAUACAAACCAAAGGAAGAUUUUCAGGAAGCCAGAAAGGCUAAAAGGGGACAGAUCAUGUGGUGUCUGUCUUUCCCUCACACUCUGAGGGAGCACAGAGGUGAACCAGGAAAAGGAAGGUGUAAGUAAACUAGCAAUAAUACCGGACUGCCACGAAGCACUAAGAGAAGGAGGGUUGUUUACAUAUAAUGAACCCUCAUCCUGUCUGUUGGAAUGCUAAUCCUGUCAGUCUACCAUUACUAUAAUACAGAAUAUGUAUUACCCCAGAAGGAUUUGAGAGGAACCCACCGUUUUUUUUCUUCCAGUCACAAAGGAGUCACCAGUGGAAGUGGUGGUGGAUUCAGAUGAUGAAAGGCUGUGAUAUAUCAUCAGGACUGCUUUUCAGCUGCACGUGAGCAGCAGAGACAACAGCUGAGAGGCAUUUAACAGCUACCUUGUGAAGUUCACUGAGCUGCACCUGUGUGCUGUGAAGUUCUCUGCGUGGUCUCCACCAGGUAAAUACUUGUAAGUUUGAGUUUCAGGAUGUGUCCUUGAACCGCAGUUUACUUUCACUGAAAUAAAUGUAAAUAGUGAUGCUUUUAGCAUGUGAAUUGGUGUCUACCAAGCUGGGUCCAUAACUUCAUAAGACUUUAAAGCAGCAUAAAAAACUGACCGGUUAUAAAACUAAUAUAUUAAAAGAAGGGAAGAAAAUGAGAUGUUAAUGUUUAAAUGUAUUGGAUAGUUGCAGUUAAAUGUCCGGAUCUGCAUUUUCCCUCUGUUAGGAGUGGCUUAGCAGCAGCAAUGUUUUUGGUCACCAAAAAGUAUAUUUCAACCCCACAUUGAUAUUGAAUUACAAACUAAAAAUCUAUUUAAAUAAAUGAAAAAAAUGUAUAACUUGCAAUAUUUGUCCUCUAAAAAUUGUUAGAGAUUUAUUAGUGCUGAUAAUAGAAGAAGUAAUAGCGUAAUCAGAGCAUUAUAGAGGCUUUUUGGUUAUUUCUGCUUUGAGAUAAAUUUGAAUUUGACAGUGUCUCUAAAAAUGUUCGUGGCCCCUAACACUACAGAUUCUCCUACUGCUGCCACCCAGCAGAAAUGCCUAGAGCAGCAUUGCUAUGGUAGCUAAACCAGAUGGUGUUUUACCAUUACAGAAUCUCACCUGUGAAACAGAAAAGAGCUAUAGAGGAAAAACUGCUCAUCUUGAACUGUAAUUAAUGCCAAGGAAAUAGUCCUUUAUCCAGCCAUUUUCUAUAGAAAGCACAGGACUUUCUGUUUUGGGUAUCCUCCCAGAUAUGCUUUCUCAAAACCAAUAGGAUUCAGCUUUGAAGCCUCAUACAGGACAGGGCCUAAAAUGCAAAGUGCUUUCUGCCAGCGACGUCCUCUAAAGAAAUCCUGGGCUAAAUUACACCUUUUGUUACGCGUAAACUCUGGCACUGAUAGCUCAAUUCGGACAUAGCAACGUCCACAAGUGCAAUUAAUUAGAAGCAGGUGACGAUUUUUCGUUUUGAGCAUUUCAAAGCUAAGACGCACGUUGUGCUUUAGAAAGUACACGUGCACGUUUUCCAGAUUUGAAAUUCAGAAAAAGAGGAGGAGGAGGAGAGGGCCGGGGGAAGCGCUCGGCCCCCAUUGAAGCCCCCGGGCGUGCGUGCCAGGAUCGCACAGAACUGCAAGCAGGUAGAUACACUUCCUGCAGGCAGCACCGCAGAAGGGAGUUUUCCUCUGAUCUCCCUCAAAAACCAAUCAGGCCAGAUCAGCCAGGCGUUGAUUCUCCCUCUGUCCCUCCUACACCUUUCCCAAAGACCCAAUGGCCUUGUCCCUCUGGGAGAUUGACUAGAGUUAAAUGAGCCGCGCCAAGGGCAGGUAACUCAGGAGAGGCGAAAGGGGGGGGGUUAAAAAAAAAAAAAA